GGUACUAUGGUGUAAUGGUUGGCAAUCAGGACUUUGAAUCCAACAAUCCAAGUUCAAAUCUUGGUAGAGUUA